GAUGAAGAACGUAGCGAAAUGCGAUACGUAAUGUGAAUUGCAGAAUUCAGUGAAUCAUCGAAUCUUUGAACGCAUAUUGCGCUCUCUGGUAUUCCGGAGAGCAUGCUUGUUUGAGUAUCAGUAAACACCUCAACUUCCAUAUCUUUUUUGAAAUGGGAGUUGGACUUGAGUGAUCCCAACGCUUUUCCUCACCGAAAAGUGGCGGGUUACUUGAAAUGCAGGUGCAGCUGGACUUUUCUCUGAGCUAUAAGCAUAUCUAUUUAGUCUGCCUAAAAAACAGAUUAUUACCUUUGCUGCAGCUAACAUAAAGGAGAUUAGUUCUUGUGCUGACUGAUGCAGGAUUCACAAAGACAGGCUUCGGCCGACUUUGUAAACUCGAUCUCAAAUCAAGUAAGACUACCCGCUGAACUUAAGCAUAUCAGCGGAGGA
rnacentral:misc_RNA from 1 species